rnacentral:tRNA from 1 species
GGCCUUAGCUCAGCUGGGAGAGCGCCUGAUUUGCAUUCAGGAGGUCAGCGGUUAAAA